UGGGGAAUAUUGGACAAUGGGCGAAAGCCUGAUCCAGCAACGCCGCGUGAGGGAUGACGGCCUUCGGGUUGUAAACCUCUUUCAGUAGGGACGAAGCUAACGUGACGGUACCUACAGAAGAAGCACCGGCCAACUACGUGCCAGCAGCCGCGGUAAUACGUAGGGUGCGAGCGUUGUCCGGAAUUAUUGGGCGUAAAGGGCUCGUAGGCGGUUUGUCACGUCGGGAGUGAAAACUCGGGGCUUAACUCCGAGCCUGCUUCCGAUACGGGCUGACUAGAGGUAUGCAGGGGAGAACGGAAUUCCUGGUGUAGCGGUGAAAUGCGCAGAUAUCAGGAGGAACACCGGUGGCGAAGGCGGUUCUCUGGGCAUUACCUGACGCUGAGGAGCGAAAGUGUGGGGAGCGAACAGGAUUAGAUACCCUGGUAGUCCACACCGUAAACGUUGGGCGCUAGGUGUAGGACUCAUUCCACGAGUUCCGUGCCGCAGCUAACGCAUUGAGCG
rnacentral:rRNA from 1 species